rnacentral:rRNA from 1 species
GAUGAACGCUGGCGGCGUGCUUAACACAUGCAAGUCGAACGGGAAAUAUUUCAUUGAGACUUCGGUGGAUUUGAUCUAUUUCUAGUGGCGGACGGGUGAGUAACGCGUGGGUAACCUGCCUUAUACAGGGGGAUAACAGUCAGAAAUGGCUGCUAAUACCGCAUAAGCGCACAGAGCUGCAUGGCUCAGUGUGAAAAACUCCGGUGGUAUAAGAUGGACCCGCGUUGGAUUAGCUGGUUGGUGGGGUAACGGCCCACCGAGGCGACGAUCCAUAGCCGGCCUGAGAGGGUGAACGGCCACAUUGGGACUGAGACACGGCCCAGACUCCUACGGGAGGCAGCAGUGGGGAAUAUUGCACAAUGGGGGAAACCCUGAUGCAGCGACGCCGCGUGAAGGAAGAAGUAUCUCGGUAUGUAAACUUCUAUCAGCAGGGAAGAUAAUGACGGUACCUGACUAAGAAGCCC